rnacentral:rRNA from 1 species
GAGUAUGGGAGAGGUGAGUGGAAUUCCCCGGUGUAGCGGUGAAAUGCGUAGAUAUCGGGAGGAACACCUGUGGCGAAAGCGGCUCACUGGACCAUUACUGACACUGAUGCACGAAAGCUAGGGGAGCAAACAGGAUUAGAUACCCUGGUAGUCCUAGCCCUAAACGAUGAUCGCUUGGUGUGACGGGUACCCAAUCCCGCCGUGCCGAAGCUAACGCGUUAAGCGAUCCGCCUGGGGAGUACGGUCACAAGGCUGAAACUCAAAGGAAUUGACGGGGGCCCGCACAAGCGGUGGAGCAUGUGGUUUAAUUCGACGCAACGCGAAGAACCUUACCUGGGCUCGAAAUGUAGUGGACUGGGGUGGAAACACCCCUUCCUAGCAAUAGGCUGCUAUAUAGGUGCUGCAUGGCUGUCGUCAGCUCGUGUCGUGAGAUGUUGGGUUAAGUCCCGCAACGAGCGCAACCCUUAUUACCAGUUACCAUCAUUCAGUUGGGGACUCUGGUGAGACCGCCUCGGAUAACGGGGAGGAAGGCGGGGAUGACGUCAAGUCCUCAUGGCCUUUAUGUCCAGGGCUACACACGUGCUACAAUGGCCGAUACAAACCGUCGCAAACCCGCGAGGGGGAGCUAAUCGGAAAAAGUCGGCCUCAGUUCGGAUUGCAGUCUGCAACUCGACUGCAUGAAGCUGGAAUCGCUAGUAAUCGCGGAUCAGAACGCCGCGGUGAAUACGUUCCCGGGCCUUGUACACACCGCCCGUCACAUCACGAAAGUGGGUUGCACUAGAAGCCGGUGAGCCGACCGCAAGGGGGCAGCCGUCCAAGGUGUAAUUCAUGAUUGGGGUGAAGUCGUAACAAGGUACCAAUCCCGCGGCC